UUGCAUCGAUGAAGAACGCAGCGAAAUGCGAUACGUAAUGUGAAUUGCAGAAUUCAGUGAAUCAUCGAGUCUUUGAACGCACAUUGCGCCCUCUGGUAUUCCGGAGGGCAUGCCUGUCCGAGCGUCAUUGCUGCCCUCAAGCACGGCUUGUGUGUUGGGCCCCGUCCUCCUUCCGGGGGACGGGUCCGAAAGGCAGCGGCGGCACCGCGUCCGGUCCUCAAGCGUAUGGGGCUUUGUCACUCGCUUUGUAGGCCUGGCCGGCGCUUGCCGAUCAACCAAACUUUUUAUCAGGUUGACCUCGGAUCAGGUAGGGAUACCCGCUGAACUUAAGCAUAUCAAUAAACGGAGGAA
rnacentral:rRNA from 1 species